UACGAAGGGGGCUAGCGUUGUUCGGAAUUACUGGGCGUAAAGCGCGCGCAGGCGGUCUUCCAAGUCAGUGGUGAAAGCCCGGAGCUCAACUCCGGAACUGCCAUUGAAACUGUAAGACUUGAGGACGAGAGAGGUGAGUGGAAUUCCCAGUGUAGAGGUGAAAUUCGUAGAUAUUGGGAAGAACACCAGUGGCGAAGGCGGCUAACUGGUCCGAUACUGACGCUGAGGUGCGAAAGCGUGGGGAGCAAACAGG
rnacentral:rRNA from 1 species